UAGAUGGUAGUAUAACUAAUACUUUUUGUUUACACCAAAAAAUUGGCUCUGCCUCAUCUACA
rnacentral:tRNA from 1 species